AUGGGUUCGGAGGCAGCAGCAGCGGCGGUGCACGGGCACCAGUUGUCGACGGUGGUGCCGAGCUCGGUGACGGAGGUGGGCAGCUACGAGCUGGCGGACGCGGACCUGGCGUUCCGGCUGCACUACCUACGCGGGGUGUACUACUACUCCGCGGGGGUCACCACCAUGGUGCUCAAGGAGCCCAUGUUCGCCUGGCUCGACGCGUACUACCCUUUGGCCGGCCGCGUCCGCCGCCCCGCCGACGAAGCCGACGCCUCGCGCCGCCCAUACGUCAAGUGCAACGACUGUGGCAUCCGCGUCGUAGAGGCCCAGUGCGACCGCGCGCUCGACGACUUGCUCCGCGACGACGCCGUCGAUCGCGUGAAGCAGCUUUGCUACCACGACGUGCUCGGCCCGGAGCUCUCCUUCUCCCCGCUGCUCUUCGUCCAGGUCACCAACUUCAAAUGUGGAGGGAUGGCGCUGGGGUUCAGCUGGGCGCACCUCAUGGGCGACGUGGCAUCGGCGACGACCUGCUUCAACCGCUGGGCACAGAUACUCGGCGGCGAGAAGCCAGUCGCCGUCACCAUGAGCCCCAUGAAGGAGCCGCGAGAGAGAAACCGUGCGCCUGCCGCGGUCGCGCCGCGCUCGGUUAAGCCGGUCGGACCCAUCCAAGAACACUGGCUGGUCCCCGCCGGCGUCGACAUGGUGUGCUACUCUUUCCACGUCACCGAAUCGAUGCUCGAGAGGCUGCGGCAGCAGGAGCCAGCGGCUCCCGGCGGCGUCUUCGAGCUCAUCUCGGCGCUCCUGUGGCAGACGGUGGCCAAGAUCAGGGCCACCAAGGAGGUGAAGACGGUGACGGUGGUGAAGACCGACAUGGCCGCCUGGAGCGGUUACUCCCUGGCCAACGAGCAAAAUGUCGGGUACGUGGAGGCGGGCUCUCCACCGGCCAGCACGGACGUGUCGGAUCUGGCUGCGCUGCUGGCCAAGGAUCUGGUCGACGAGACCACCACGGUGGUCGGGUUCCCGUGGGACGUGGUCAUCUACGGCGCGAACCUAACGUUCGUGGACAUGGAGCAGGUGGACCUGUACGGGCUGGAGAUCAAGGGGCAGAGGCCCGCGCACGUGGAGUACGGCAUGGACGGCGUCGGCCAGGAGGGCGCCGUGCUGGUGCAGCCCGACGCCAGCGGGCAUGGCCGCGUCGUCAUGGUGGUGCUCCCCAAUGAUGACGUUCAGGCCCUCCGAGCUGAGCUCAGGAACACGCCCUUGCUGGCUCGCUGA
rnacentral:rRNA from 1 species